rnacentral:rRNA from 1 species
GGGGAAUAUUGCACAAUGGGGGAAACCCUGAUGCAGCAACGCCGCGUGAGCGAUGAAGGCCUUCGGGUCGUAAAGCUCUGUCCUAAGGGAAGAAGAAUGACGGUACCUUAGGAGGAAGCCCCGGCUAACUACGUGCCAGCAGCCGCGGUAAUACGUAGGGGGCAAGCGUUAUCCGGAAUCACUGGGCGUAAAGGGUGCGUAGGCGGCCGAUAAAGUCUGGGGUGAAAGGCUACGGCUUAACCGUAGUAAGCCUUGGAAACUUAUUGGCUUGAGUGCAGGAGAGGUAAGUGGAAUUCCUAGUGUAGCGGUGAAAUGCGUAGAUAUUAGGAGGAACACCAGUGGCGAAGGCGACUUACUGGACUGUAACUGACGCUGAGGCACGAAAGCGUGGGGAGCGAAC